CAGCCGCCGCGGUAAUACGGAGGGUGCAAGCGUUAAUCGGAAUUACUGGGCGUAAAGCGCACGCAGGCGGUCUGUCAAGUCAGAUGUGAAAUCCCCGGGCUUAACCUGGGAACUGCAUUUGAAACUGGCAGGCUAGAGUCUUGUAGAGGGGUGUAGAAUUCCAGGUGUAGCGGUGAAAUGCGUAGAGAUCUGGAGGAAUACCGGUGGCGAAGGCGGCCCCCUGGACAAAGACUGACGCUCAGGUGCGAAAGCGUGGGGAGCAAACAGGAUUAGAUACCCGGGUAGUCCCUGUCUCUUAUAC
rnacentral:rRNA from 1 species